CACUCUUUCCUCUUCCAUCACAAACCUUAGGUGCCGCCUGCAUUCUCUCACCUCUCUCAUCACCAAAAAUGGAAAAUGUUCAAAGGUCUCAGACCUCAGCCAGCUUUUACGCAUCCAAAUGCAUACAACAAUUAAUGCUUCAACAUUUUUUCACUCGAAAUGGCUCCAAACACGGAUUGGCUCGGAUCGACUCAUAGUGGAUCAGAUCUGACCGUAUAUGAUUGUUAUCUUUAAAUCCUAAGGGUUAAUUUCCUAUAUUGAGUGUUUAUUCCUGAGAAAUUUUGUUGUCCCACAUCGGUUGAAGUCUUUGAAUGCAACUUUGGUACCAGAAACCCAACCCUUACCAUAAAAAAGAAGUUGGAAACCCUCAUAGCUUGAAUUUUGAGUAAAUAACUCGAAAAUUUGAGCUCUCAGUUUUAAAAUUUUCAAGACUUAACUGUAAAAGUAGAGUCUUAUUAGUCCAAAUAUUUAUUUACUUGUUUUUCUUUCCUUGUGAGGCUGAGUGUUGAGAUUGAAAGCACAAGGUUUCCAAAUUCAUUCUUAACUAAGGCUGCACAUAAAAAAGGUAAGCCUUUAUCAUUUUCUUCCCCUUUUAGUUUAUGUUAAAUCCUUGUUUAAAUUUAUGAUUAGCUCUAGAUUAGUAGAAUGUUUAGUUACUUGUUAAUAUAAUGGUUGUUGGGAUGAUAGUGUAAAAAUGGUUAGCAUACGUUUAAAUAUGAUAACUAGUUAAUAAUUAAUCUAGUAUUUACUAAGGUAAUAGUAUAAAACUAUUAAUUAAUGUUUGGUACAUGGUUCAACCAGUCUAAUGAGGUGUUCUGUUAGAAUAAUGGUAUGAAGUGCUCCCAUCAAUUGAAUAAUAAACUCUGUAGGCUAAUGUGUGAGGUAUUAAGGCCUAUUUAAACCUUUAAUUGAAUCCUAAGUGCUAUGUAGUUCCUUGAACACUUUAGACCUUAGCUUAUAGUUCUGAAUAUGGCAGAGUUAAGUCUGAACUGAGGAAAAUUGAAUGGGUUCAGUCUUUUUUUGGACAAUCUAACCAUUGUUAAGCUAGCAUUAGACAUUAAUGAAGUCAUGACUAUAAUAAAAUGGGUUUAAAAAGGAUAGGAAUCAAUUAGGAGGUUGCCAGAAUGGAAGGUGUAGACCCUUGAUGGAUCAUUAACUAACUAAUAACAAAUUAUGAAGGUAAAUAGCUUUAUAAGUUUGGUCUCUUUAAUAUCAGGGAUAAAAUAAGAGAGGGGAAAGAAAAAAUGGAGCCACUUAGAUUUAUAUGACCUUGGCAUAUGCAUUGUUUUGAUGAUAUGAAUGAUUCUGUCUAAGGACCAAGCUAUUGAUAGCUUAAAUCACUUUUAAAAGGUUGAGUCAGUACUUAGGGAAGGGAGAACUUGAAUGUUUACUAUGUGAUUUGCUUAAAACAUGAAAACCUUGUUUCUUGUGGCCUAUAUACUUGCACCUAUCUCUUAAGACUUGUCUAGGGUCAGUAUUCUGAUCCAGAGAACUUAAUGGUACUAAGAACCUCUAGAGUUUAUCUAAAUUGAAAGUUUGAGAGACCAACACUGAAAGUUUGAAAAUUAGAUUCCAGUCUGCCUAGUUCCUUGUUUACAUAUUUUCCUUUCUCUUUUCUUGAAUAGCAUUGGUUCCCAUCCAUGUGUUUGUAUGUUCCAUGAUUGAAGUAUGCAGAAAAGCAUAAACUAGAACAUUAAACCUGAAUUCAUGCUGUAAACCACAAAGUGCUUUUCAUGAUCUUAUUUGAAGGUAAAUUGGGCCAAUGGAAAUUUGCUUGCUAUGUCCAUUUUUUGAAACUACUCUGAGCCCUUUGACCUGAAACCUGAUGACUUAUCUGUAUGAUUUAAUGUCUUUGCUUGUCUGCAUAUCUAAAAACACUAUGAUUGCAUGCCUAGCUAUCAUCACUUGAUCAU